rnacentral:rRNA from 1 species
AACGAACGCUGGCGGCAGGCCUAACACAUGCAAGUCGAGCGCGCCCUUCGGGGUGAGCGGCGGACGGGUGAGUAACGCGUGGGAACGUGCCCUUUUCUACGGAAUAGCCUCGGGAAACUGAGAGUAAUACCGUAUACGCCCUUUGGGGGAAAGAUUUAUCGGAAAAGGAUCGGCCCGCGUUGGAUUAGGUAGUUGGUGGGGUAAUGGCCUACCAAGCCGACGAUCCAUAGCUGGUUUGAGAGGAUGAUCAGCCACACUGGGACUGAGACACGGCCCAGACUCCUACGGGAGGCAGCAGGGGGGAAUCUUAGACAAUGGGGGCAACCCUGAUCUAGCCAUGCCGCGUGAGUGAUGAAGGCCUUAGGGUUGUAAAGCUCUUUCAGCUGGGAAGAUAAUGACGGUACCAGCAGAAGAAGCCCCGGCUAACUCCGUG